GGAUGUGAGGAGGAUCUGGCUGCGACAUCAGUCACCCCAUUGAUCACCAGGGUUGAUUCAGCUGAUCUGGCUGGCUAGGCGGGUGUCCGCCUCCUGCCUCACCACUCCAUGUGCGUCCCUCCCGAAGCUGCGUGCUCCGUCGAAGAGGACGGCCUUCCCCGAAUAGAGACGGACCGGUCUUCGGUCGAGGGUAUAGGAGUAGCUGCGCUCCCCUGCUAGAACCUCCAAACAAGCUCUCAAGGUCCAAGACAAAGCAUAGUGUAUAGAAUGGACAAUAUGCUAAAGAUAUGGACGUUAGUUGCUGGGUACUACAGGCUACAGUAAUU
rnacentral:snRNA from 1 species